rnacentral:rRNA from 1 species
AUUGAACGCUGGCGGCAGGCCUAACACAUGCAAGUCGAGCGGAUGAAGGGAGCUUGCUCCUGGAAUCAGCGGCGGACGGGUGAGUAAUGCCUAGGAAUCUGCCUGGUAGUGGGGGAUAACGUCCGGAAACGGGCGCUAAUACCGCAUACGUCCUGAGGGAGAAAGUGGGGGAUCUUCGGACCUCACGCUAUCAGAUGAGCCUAGGUCGGAUUAGCUAGUUGGUGGGGUAAAGGCCUACCAAGGCGACGAUCCGUAACUGGUCUGAGAGGAUGAUCAGUCACACUGGAACUGAGACACGGUCCAGACUCCUACGGGAGGCAGCAGUGGGGAAUAUUGGACAAUGGGCGAAAGCCUGAUCCAGCCAUGCCGCGUGUGUGAAGAAGGUCUUCGGAUUGUAAAGCACUUUAAGUUGGGAGGAAGGGCAGCAAGUUAAUACCUUGCUGUUUUGACGUUACCAACAGAAUAAGCACCGGCUAACUUCGUG